GGUCAAGAGUCUCAGUCGUAAGCCCCGGCUGACUGAGCGGCAACCCUCCUUCCGCGGUGGGGUGCUCCGGGUGACGACCCGGCCGGAUCGCAAACAGCGUGACGGCAAGCGCGGACC
rnacentral:ncRNA from 2 species